GGUUGGCAAGACAAGUUGGAGUCUGAGCAACAAUAAUUUCUGCCAGGGGCAUGGUGAGCUCAUUAGAGUUAUAAAUUCAAGCUUUUUUUUUCACCAUAGGAGGUUUUCCUUUUUAUAUAUGAUUUAAAAAAACUUUUAUUAGUGUAUCAAUUUCAUAUAAAAUUUGCACAUGCUUAGUGGUAAAGAGUUCAGUGAUUUUUGGCUUCAGAACAUUUUCAUCAUCCCCAAAAGUCCCUUUGUCCUCAUUUGCAGUUAAUCCCUUCUCCCUCCCACUUGCCAAGUCCUAGCAAAGCCUGAGCUAGGAACAUACUCGCGCCAGUCCUGACCUCAUCACUCCCACCACCAAUGCUACUGGACAAGGGUGUUGCCAUCCCUCCAAGUGGAGCGAACUCCCUUCCCCCGGAGCACAGCCUGCCCCCUGCCUACUAAGCUGGAGGGGCUCCAGGCAAGAAUGCUUCAGACUCCCACUGUUCCUACUUACAGCCUGCAAGGACUCUGUUAAUGGAUCCCAGAUCACAGACAAAGCCAUUGCAGCUUUAGUUAAAAAGCAUGGAAACAGGUAAAAUAAUGAUAAAUAUUUCAUUUACAUGUAGCUUCCAUUUAUGUAUGUUUGUAUUUCUUUAUCUGAU
rnacentral:lncRNA from 1 species